CGGAUACAUUCACCCAGAACAGCUAUGACAUGAUACGAUCGAGCUCGUAGCCGGGAUCCUCUAGAGAUUUCUGUGAUCCCGCAGAGGUUACUGCUAUCGAGGUUCGACUAAGCAUGCGAGUCGAAUGUUAGCAAUACAUGGCGAACUGCUCAGUAACACGUGGACAACCUGCCCUUAGGUUUGGGUAUAAACCCGGGAAACUGGGUAUAAUACCCGAUAGGUCUCGAUUGCUGGAAUGCAUCGAGAUUUAAAGCUCCGGCGCCUAAGGAUGGGUCUGCGGCCCUAUCAGGUAGUAGUGGGUGUAGCGUACCUACUAGCCUACGACGGGUACGGGUUGUGAGAGCAAGAGCCCGGAGAUGGAUUCUGAGACACGAAUCCAGGCCCUACGGGGUGCAGCAGGCGCGAAAACUUUACAAUGCUGGCAACAGCGAUAAGGGAACCUCGAGUGCCAGGUUACAAAUCUGGCUGUCGAGAUGCCUAAAAAGCAUUUCAUAGCAAGGGCCGGGCAAGACCGGUGCCAGCCGCCGCGGUAACACCGGCGGCUCGAGUGGUAACCGUUAUUAUUGGGUCUAAAGGGUCUGUAGCCGGCCGGAUAAGUCUCUUGAGAAAUCUGGCAGCUUAACUGUCAGGCUUUCAGGAGAUACUGUCUGGCUCGAGGCCGGGAGAGGUGAGAGGUACUUCAGGGGUAGGGGUGAAAUCUUGUAAUCCUUGAAGGACCACCAGUGGCGAAGGCGUCUCACCAGAACGGACCUGACGGCAAGGGACGAAAGCUAGGGGCACGAACCGGAUUAGAUACCCGGGUAGUCCUAGCCGUAAACGAUACUCGCUAGGUGUCGGCCACGGUGCGACCGUUGUCGGUGCCGUAGGGAAGCCGUGAAGCGAGCCACCUGGGAAGUACGGCCGCAAGGCUGAAACUUAAAGGAAUUGGCGGGGGAGCACCACAACGUGUGGAGCUUGCGGUUUAAUUGGAU
rnacentral:rRNA from 1 species